AUGCCUAGCUCUCCAAUAUCGUACAACCCAGAGGUUUUGUGUUGGAACGUGCGCGGACUCAACAACCCUGCGAAAAAGAAGGCAGUGAGGGACUUUGUUACUUUGGUGAAAGUCAAUUUGGUUUGUUUGCAGGAGACUAAACUUGAUGUAAUCGAUCAGUUCAUAGUAAUGCAAUGUGUCGGGCCGUCCUUUGACGGUUUUUCUUAUUUGUCAGCGGAGGAGACCCGUGGUGGCAUCUUGCUCGCUUGGGACACAAAGGUGAUCACAAUCGACCACAUCUAG
rnacentral:rRNA from 1 species